GGAGGCAUAGCUCAGCUGGUCAGAGCGUUCGCCUCACACGCGAGAGGUCCACGGUUCGAGCCCGUGUGUCUCCACCA
rnacentral:tRNA from 1 species